UACCGGCACCUGAGUGGUCGGCUUUUUUAUUGGGCCUAAAACGUCCGUAGCCUGUUUGGUACAUUUGUGGGUAAAUCAACCAGCUUAACUGGUUGAAUUCUGCAAACACUGCCAGACUUGGGACCGGAAGAGGUAGGAGGUACUCUAAGGGAAGGGGUAAAAUCCUGACAUCCUGAGGGGACCACCUGUGGCGAAGGCGCCAUACUAAAACGGAUCCGACGGUCAGGAACGAAGCCUAGGGGCACGAACCGGAUUAAAUACCCGGGUAGUCCUAGGUGUAAACGCUGUGAACUUGGGGUUGGGGAUCCUACAAGGAUCCCAAGUGCCGAAGGGAAGAUGUUAAGUCCACUGCCUGGGGAGUACGGCCGCAAGGCUGAAACUUAAAGGAAUUGGCGGGGGAGCACUGCAACGGGAGGAGCGUGCGGUUUAAUUGGAUAACGGGCCCGGA
rnacentral:rRNA from 1 species